rnacentral:lncRNA from 1 species
CCUUCCCGAUUAGGUUGUGGUGAUGGGCCUGGCUGAGGCCUACCGCGCCAACGGUGGCCCCCUGGGCGAGGGCCUGGACCCCCUGCACCCCGGUGGUGCCUUUGACCCCCUGGGCCUGGCUGACGACCCCGACACCUUCGCUGAGCUGAAGGUGAAGGAGAUCAAGAACGGCCGCCUGGCUAUGUUCUCCAUGUUCGGCUUCUUCGUCCAGGCCAUCGUGACCGGCAAGGGCCCCAUCCAGAACCUGGACGACCACCUGGCCAACCCCACCGCCGUGAACGCGUUCGCCUACGCCACCAAGUUCACCCCCUCGGCCUAAAUUUUUGGCCCUCGGCAG